rfam:Felis catus isolate Cinnamon breed Abyssinian chromosome E2, whole genome shotgun sequence.
GGAUGUGAGGGCGAUCUGGCUGUGACAUCUGUCACCCCAUUGAUCGCCAGGGUUGAUUCGGCUGAUCUGGCUGGCUAGGCGGGUGUCCCUUCCUCCCUCACCGCUCCAUGUGCAUCCCUCCGGAAGCUGCGCACUCGGUCGAAGAGGACGACCUUCCCGGAUAGAGGAGGACUGUUCUUCGGUCAAGGGUAUACAAGUAGCUGCGCUCCCCUGCUAGAACCUCCAAACAAGCUCUCAAAACAAUGUCCAGUGUGUCUAAAGAUAAUGUAUCAUAUGCUGUUCAUGUUGACUCUCAUCAGUUCUAAGAAUCUAUUAUGUGU